AAAUAUCUGUAAUCGGUUAGGAUGAACAUAUCAAGGAUAUACUUCCUGGGGAAACGUGAAAAUGAAUCCGCUAGGGAGAAACAAGGUUACUUUUGCCGAGGUACUGGGCAAGAAGUAACAAACUGCCCACUAAAGAGAAUACUACUAGUUACUAGUUAAUAAACUCUCAGGGGACCAAAAAUAUCUAUCUAGGUAAGAUCUAGAAAGAAACAGUCAAUCAAAACUCUACCCAAUGAG
rnacentral:lncRNA from 1 species